ACGAACGCUGGCGGCGUGGAUAAGACAUGCAAGUCGAACGGGAGAAUUGCUAGCUUGCUAAUAAUUCUCUAGUGGCGCACGGGUGAGUAACACGUGAGUAACCUGCCUCUUAGUGGGGGAUAGCCCUGGGAAACCGGGAUUAAUACCGCAUACGAUUGAAAGAUCAAAGCAGCAAUGCGCUAGGAGAUGGGCUCGCGGCCUAUUAGUUAGUUGGUGAGGUAACGGCUCACCAAGGCGAUGACGGGUAGCCGGUCUGAGAGGGUGUCCGGCCACACUGGAACUGAGACACGGUCCAGACACCUACGGGUGGCAGCAGUCGAGAAUCAUUCACAAUGGGGGCAACCCUGAUGGUGCGACGCCGCGUGGGGGAAUGAAGGUCUUCGGAUUGUAAACCCCUGUCAUGUGGGAGCAAAUUAAAAAGAUAGUACCACAAGAGGAAGAGACGGCUAACUCUGUGCCAGCAGCCGCGGUAAUACAGAGGUCUCAAGCGUUGUUCGGAAUCACUGGGCGUAAAGCGUGCGUAGGCUGUUUCGUAAGUCGUGUGUGAAAGGCAGGGGCUCAACCCCUGGAUUGCACAUGAUACUGCGAGACUAGAGUAAUGGAGGGGGAACCGGAAUUCUCGGUGUAGCAGUGAAAUGCGUAGAUAUCGAGAGGAACACUCGUGGCGAAGGCGGGUUCCUGGACAUUAACUGACGCUGAGGCACGAAGGCCAGGGGAGCGAAAGGGAUUAGAUACCCCUGUAGUCCUGGCAGUAAACGGUGCACGCUUGGUGUGCGGGGAAUCGACCCCCUGCGUGCCGGAGCUAACGCGUUAAGCGUGCCGCCUGGGGAGUACGGUCGCAAGAUUAAAACUCAAAGAAAUUGACGGGGACCCGCACAAGCGGUGGAGUAUGUGGCUUAAUUCGAUGCAACGCGAAGAACCUUACCUGGGCUUGACAUGUAAUGAACAACAUGUGAAAGCAUGCGACUCUUCGGAGGCGUUACACAGGUGCUGCAUGGCCGUCGUCAGCUCGUGUCGUGAGAUGUUUGGUUAAGUCCAGCAACGAGCGCAACCCCUGUUGCCAGUUACCAGCACGUCAAGGUGGGGACUCUGGCGAGACUGCCCAGAUCAACUGGGAGGAAGGUGGGGACGACGUCAGGUCAGUAUGGCCCUUAUGCCCAGGGCUGCACACGUACUACAAUGCCCAGUACAGAGGGGGCCGAAGCCGCGAGGCGGAGGAAAUCCUGAAAACUGGGCCCAGUUCGGACUGUAGGCUGCAACCCGCCUACACGAAGCCGGAAUCGCUAGUAAUGGCGCAUCAGCUACGGCGCCGUGAAUACGUUCCCGGGUCUUGUACACACCGCCCGUCACAUCAUGGAAGCCGGUCGCACCCGAAGUAUCUGAAGCCAACCGCAAGGAGGCAGGGUCCUAAGGUGAGACUGGUAACUGGGAUG
rnacentral:rRNA from 1 species